GGCGGCGUGCCUAAUACAUGCAAGUAGAACGCUGAAGGAGGAGCUUGCUUCUCCGGAUGAGUUGCGAACGGGUGAGUAACGCGUAGGUAACCUGCCUGGUAGCGGGGGAUAACUAUUGGAAACGAUAGCUAAUACCGCAUAACAGUAGAUAUUGUCAUGAUAUCUGCUUGAAAGGUGCAAAUGCAUCACUACCAGAUGGACCUGCGUUGUAUUAGCUAGUAGGUGAGGUAACGGCUCACCUAGGCGACGAUACAUAGCCGACCUGAGAGGGUGAUCGGCCACACUGGGACUGAGACACGGCCCAGACUCCUACGGGAGGCAGCAGUAGGGAAUCUUCGGCAAUGGGGGGAACCCUGACCGAGCAACGCCGCGUGAGUGAAGAAGGUUUUCGGAUCGUAAAGCUCUGUUGUUAAGGAAGAACGAGUGUGAGAAUGGAAAGUUCAUACUGUGACG
rnacentral:rRNA from 1 species